UCUCGACUAGUAUAUCGGUUUAGUACACGCGCCUGUCAUGGAUAUGAAUGCCAUCCUUGUGAUUUCGCGCGAAAGCUGGGUUCGACUCCCAGGUCGAGAG